CAUUUUGAUACGGUUGAACCCAUGUAAACAAUACUCUUUAUUGUGAGAUUUUGGGAUAUUUUCUGUGUUUGAAGGGAUAACAUGCAGACCAAACUGGUAGAAAUAAGAAAUGGCAAAUGAUGGAUUUAGCUGCAGCCUACACUACAACUUGUUACUGUACAAGCGUGCUUUGCAGAGACGGCAGUUCACUGAUGCAGUCGUCCUGUGUGUAAGAAACCUGGUGAUCAAAAUGGUUGAAGGCAGUACCCAAGAAAGUACAUUUACAAAUUGUGAAUGGGUAAACGGUUGGUCUGCCGCAACAUUCAAGUUUCAAGCAAGCUGUCUGCUGUAACCAUGACCCAGUUCAAGCUGUAUGCAGUGUUAUUUUCUCUGGUGGUCAAAGAAAAUGGAAAGUAUUCUCUGUAUGGCUGGAUUGACCUCAGUGGAAGUUGUUCGCUUAAAUGGUUUCGGGACAUUGAAGUAAAACAAUACAAGGUCCCACUAAGAGUGAAGGGCUGUCUGUUGGCUUCAGAUUCCCAGUCCUCUUUGCUGAUGAUUUCUGAGUUCCUCACACAGUCACCCCAGUCUUAAACCUCUGUUUGUACAGAUGAGAUGCCAUACACAGGGGAUCCGAAAGAAGACAGCAGACAGAAUUCGUCAAUGUAUUUGAAAUAUCAUUGUUUAUUUGAAGAAAUUUACCUAUCCACAA